rnacentral:rRNA from 1 species
UACGAAGGGGGCUAGCGUUGCUCGGAAUCACUGGGCGUAAAGCGCACGUAGGCGGAUUGCUAAGUCAGGGGUGAAAUCCUGGAGCUCAACUCCAGAACUGCCUUUGAUACUGGCGACCUUGAGUCCGGGAGAGGUGAGUGGAACUGCGAGUGUAGAGGUGAAAUUCGUAGAUAUUCGCAAGAACACCAGUGGCGAAGGCGGCUCACUGGCCCGGUACUGACGCUGAGGUGCGAAGGCGUGGGGAGCAAACAGG